AACCCGCUCAGAUUGAACGCUGGCGGCAGGCCUAACACAUGCAAGUCGAGCGGCAGCACGGGUACUUGUACCUGGUGGCGAGCGGCGGACGGGUGAGUAAUGCCUAGGAAUCUGCCUGGUAGUGGGGGAUAACGCUCGGAAACGGACGCUAAUACCGCAUACGUCCUACGGGAGAAAGCAGGGGACCUUCGGGCCUUGCGCUAUCAGAUGAGCCUAGGUCGGAUUAGCUAGUUGGUGAGGUAAUGGCUCACCAAGGCGACGAUCCGUAACUGGUCUGAGAGGAUGAUCAGUCACACUGGAACUGAGACACGGUCCAGACUCCUACGGGAGGCAGCAGUGGGGAAUAUUGGACAAUGGGCGAAAGCCUGAUCCAGCCAUGCCGCGUGUGUGAAGAAGGUCUUCGGAUUGUAAAGCACUUUAAGUUGGGAGGAAGGGCAUUAACCUAAUACGUUAGUGUUUUGACGUUACCGACAGAAUAAGCACCGGCUAACUCUGUGCCAGCAGCCGCGGUAAUACAGAGGGUGCAAGCGUUAAUCGGAAUUACUGGGCGUAAAGCGCGCGUAGGUGGUUCGUUAAGUUGGAUGUGAAAUCCCCGGGCUCAACCUGGGAACUGCAUUCAAAACUGUCGAGCUAGAGUAUGGUAGAGGGUGGUGGAAUUUCCUGUGUAGCGGUGAAAUGCGUAGAUAUAGGAAGGAACACCAGUGGCGAAGGCGACCACCUGGACUGAUACUGACACUGAGGUGCGAAAGCGUGGGGAGCAAACAGGAUUAGAUACCCUGGUAGUCCACGCCGUAAACGAUGUCAACUAGCCGUUGGGAGCCUUGAGCUCUUAGUGGCGCAGCUAACGCAUUAAGU
rnacentral:rRNA from 1 species